UACAGAGGUGGCAAGCGUUGUUCGGAAUUACUGGGCGUAAAGGGCGCGUAGGCGGUUUCGUAAGUCCUGUGUGAAAUCCCCCGGCUCAACUGGGGAACUGCACAGGAAACUGCGAGGCUUGAGUUCGGGAGAGGGAAGCGGAAUUCCAGGUGUAGCGGUGAAAUGCGUAGAUAUCUGGAGGAAUACCGGUGGCGAAGGCGGCAUCCUGGACCGACAUUGACGCUGAUGAGCGAAAGCUAGGGGAGCAAACGGG
rnacentral:rRNA from 1 species